GCCGCCACCACCACCCGGCAGCACAUUGGAACAAUACAGAGAAGGUUAACACGGCUCCUGUGUAAGGAUGACAUACAGAUCUAUGAAGCUUUCCAUAGUUUU